rnacentral:rRNA from 1 species
CGUACCGUCCAAACGUCAUUCGGAAUUACUGGGCUUAAAGGGUAUGUAGGCGGCGCUGUUAGUCGGGUGUGAAAUCCCACGGCUCAACCGUGGAAUUGCGCCCGAUACUGCAGUGCUUGAGGGAGACAGAGGUAAGCGGAACUGAUGGUGGAGCGGUGAAAUGCGUUGAUAUCAUCAGGAACACCGGUGGCGAAAGCGGCUUACUGGGUCUCUUCUGACGCUGAGAUACGAAAGCCAGGGUAGCGAAGGGGAUUAGAUACCCCCGUAGUCCUGGCCGUAAACGUUGAGCACUUGAUCGAGGGCCCCCCCAUAGGCUCUCGGUCGUGGCGAAAGUGUUAAGUGCUCCGCCUGGGGAGUAUGGUCGCAAGGCUG